GGCACCAGCUGCCACCUUUCCUUUAAAGAGCUGAAGGGAGGGAACAACACCGAGGGAUCCCAUGUCACCAUUAGAUUAAGGAAUAAAUUGCAUGGAAAUACAGAUUUACCAAACAAAAACAUCGACAGAAAAAAAGGGAGGGGAACAAACGAACGGAAGAAAUAAGAGAGGCAGCUCAAGGAAUAACAUUUCUAGUCGUGCCCGGCAAGCUGCUUGUUCGGCAUAAAUCAUUUCAAACAGACAUCUCAGUCUGCAACUAAAGACCUGGUUUCGGUCUUCUUAACCCUGGACAACGGGAACGGGUGAUGAUACGGAAGAAAGGAUGCUAAAACUGAGAAGAAAGGGAUAGACUGUUAAUGGAGUGAGUGCAUGAAGAUUUAGACAUAGAGAGAGAGAGGGAGAGGUGUUUCCCCGCUGCACGUUUCGCUUGGAUGAAUAGACUUGUUUCGUGUAGAGAAUAAAAGUAAAAGGUUAACACGAGCAUAAGUAAUAGAAAUGCUUAUUUACCAGGCAAAUAUUUUUUGAUAUCAGACCUGUAACAUCUGUGUACAUAACGAGAAUAAUUUAUUUGAGGAACAAGGAUAUCAGAGGUGCAACUUAGGUGAUUUAUUCUGCUUUUCGUAGGCUAGUCUUCUGUAUCACCAGAGGAACUGAACUACGCACUAUAGCACAGUUGCGUUGUUUUGAACUAGCAGGUGUUGUAGCGAGAAUAGCCUAUAUUGCAUUAUUCAUAACUGUAGCCAUUUUAUAAAAAAUAAAUAUUAGGUUUCUGCACAGUCACUUGGACCUACGCCAAGAGGAUCCCUCAGUUCAGUCAGAAAACAGACAAUUGCACGUAGCGUUUUUGUGCAGUUUGUGUGUUCAUUGACACGCACACUGCACGCACGCGAACAGAGCCAGACCCAAAGCGAGCUCCUCCUCCCCCCCUCCCCGCUCGGUUCUCUCUCCUCAUCUCCCUCCCCCUGCUCCUCUAUGCUCAGUUCGGUGUGUGUCUCCUCUUUCAAAGGGCGCAAGGGUGGGAACAAGUCGUCCAACAAAGCAUGUUACAGCGCAGACAUGACUUGUCCGUCAGACAGCGAGAAAAUAGUGAUAAACUGCGGGGGGAUUCGGCACGAGACGUACCGCAGCACAUUGAAGACGCUGCCUGGGACGCGCUUGUCCUGGCUCACGGAGCCAGAUGCGUUCAGUAACUUUGACUAUGACCCCAAAUCAGACGAGUUCUUCUUUGACCGCCACCCCAACACCUUUGCUUUCAUCCUCAACUAUUACCGCACAGGGAAGUUGCAUUGUCCCAACGAUGUCUGCGGUCCUCUCUUCGAGGAGGAGCUCGCGUUCUGGGGUAUCGACGAGACGGACGUGGAGGCUUGCUGCUGGAUGAACUACCGACAGCAUCGGGACGCCGAGGAAGCGCUGGACAGCUUCGAGACGCCCGAACCGGAGCUGCCAGAGGACGACCCGGCGCUCACGGGUGGUGCGGACGGGGAUUUGAAGAGGUUGUGUCUGCAGGAGGAUGGCCGCAACCGCAGCUGGUGGAGUACCUGGCAGCCCCGCAUCUGGGCGCUGUUUGAGGACCCCUACUCCUCCAAAUACGCCAGGUAUGUGGCGUUCGGCUCGCUCCUGUUCAUCCUCAUCUCCAUCUCAACAUUUUGCUUGGAGACACACGAGGCCUUCAACACCAUCUACAAUAAGACAGAGAACGUGACGGUGGGGAACGUCACACGGGAGGAGAUUGUGUUUGAGGUAGUGACUGACAACUGGCUGACCUACGUGGAGGGCAUGUGCGUCAUCUGGUUCACCAUCGAGGUGUUCGCCCGCGUCAUCUUCUGCCCGGACAAGGCGGAGUUCUUCAAGAGCUCGCUGAACAUCAUCGACUUUGUAGCCAUCCUGCCCUUUUACCUGGAGGUGGGGCUGAGCGGCCUCUCCUCGAAAGCCGCGAAAGACGUGCUGGGCUUUUUGCGUGUGGUGCGAUUCGUCCGAAUCCUGCGAAUCUUCAAGCUCACGCGUCAUUUCGUGGGGCUGAGAGUGCUGGGUCACACGCUCCGUGCCAGCACCAAUGAAUUCUUGCUCCUCAUCAUCUUCCUCGCUCUGGGGGUGCUCAUCUUCGCCACCAUGAUCUACUACGCCGAGCGCAUCGGCGCCGACCCGGCCGACCCCACGGCGAGCGCCCACACCACCUUCAAAAACAUCCCUAUCGGCUUCUGGUGGGCAGUGGUCACAAUGACAACACUGGGCUAUGGUGACAUGUAUCCAGAGACAUGGUCUGGUAUGUUAGUGGGUGCCUUGUGUGCCCUGGCGGGCGUGCUGACCAUCGCCAUGCCUGUGCCCGUCAUUGUAAACAACUUCGGCAUGUACUACUCUCUGGCCAUGGCCAAGCAGAAGCUGCCCAAGAAGAAGAACAAGCACAUCCCUCGGGCUCCGCAGCCUGGAUCGCCCAACUACUGCAAGCCAGACGCCCUGGCCAUGGCAACUGCCUCACCGCACAGGAUCUUGGGUAAUGUGCUGGGCAGUAUGGUGGUCUCUGGAAGCAUGGCAGGAGACUGUCCUCUUGCACAGGAGGAAAUCAUAGAGAUUAACAGAGCAGACUCGAAACAGAAUGGAGAUGCUGCAAACGCAGCUCUGGCUAAUGAGGACUGUCCCACCAUAGAUCAGGUGCUGGGGCCAGAUGACAGGAGUCCAGCCACCGGUGGGCUGGGGACAUGCACGGGGCGUGAACGUUACCCCCACGAUAGGGCCUGCUUCCUUCUCAGUACCGGAGAGUUCCGCACCACAGACAGCAAUGUCAGGAAAGAAGCUGCAGGCGCCAACCCAGUCUGCCCCCCAGCAGAGGAGUGGUUCAAGCCGGAUGGGCCACUGCUACAGCAGGACCUCAAUGCCAAUUCUGCCUCCUCUUGGAUCAAACCAUAAUGAAUCAGAGAGAACUAUUCUGAAAGCCCAGUGCUUAUCAGAUAUAUGCAAAAAGAAGCAGUAACUGUGAACUAAGACUAGAACAGAAAAUCCACUUCUUCCUUCACAAAUACAUUCCCAAACGAACACCUGAGCCCCCGAACCAGUAUCAGCUCCCGUACAAGUGCAUUUUAGUUUGUAUUCCCAUCUCAUGGCAUCAUCAGUCUUAUUUAAUCAUUUUAGUUUUGCAUUAUUAAAGAGCAGAUUAGUUGUUUUUCUCCCCUUUGCUGUUGCAUUAACCUUAGUUCUAUCCCCCUCUGCUGGUUUUACGGGGGAUGACGUAGCAUUCACUGUUGUUGAUCAUUAGCACUCCUUUGUCACUUUAGAGGCUAAGAAUACAGAUUUUAGCCCUUAAUGUUUACCUUUUAUAUUUAAGAUUAAAAAAAAUAUUCUUUAGGCAUUCAUUUGAACAGACUCAGUCCAGAAGGAGUGAUUUCUUGUUCACUGAACACUGAUCAGAGCAAAGAGAAAGAAGCUAAUGCUAAGAAGUCUGCCUGCUGCAGCAAUGCAUGUUUCCACAUAUUCAAGAUAGCUAGCACUUAGUAUCCCUAGUGCAUUUUGUGGUUUUGCUGUGUGUAGUCUAUCUGUUAACGUGUAGUCAGGGUGAACAGAGUGGAUGGGAUGGCUCCACUUUAAUCCCUUUAUCUCAGUUCUAAGGUUUCGAUGUGAAAGAGACAGGCCUGCCACUAGUUAGCUUAGUUAGCGAAUGCCCUGGUAAAAGCAGAGGCUGCAUGUGAUCAUGGAGGAAAGUGUAAAUAAUUCCCUGCAUGUGGAGUUAACAGCACAAAAACUAUCGUUUGAUUCAAAUGAGGCAUUCGAAAUGUGGAGGGAAGGUCGAGUUCAAACGAUUUCGCGACAUUAUCCAAAAUCCUCUCUGUUUCUGACUUACGCUGCCAUGUCACUACUCAGGUAAAUCUCUUUUUGUUUGUCUAUACCAGUGCUUCCAAAAUGAUGUCAUUCGAAAUAGAGAGAGAGGCAGAUGAGAACACCCCCUGUACGCGUGCAUUUGUGUAAAUAUGAAAUAAUCAUGUUUGAUCUUAACAUUGCAUUCAUUCCAAGUAUUCCUUUUCCACAGUGUCCUUCUCGCCCUUCAUUUCGUCAUUUCAUCCAUCACUUUCAUUUAUUCCCAACUCUUACUACUUCCAAAUAACAACCAAAAAGCCCGGAUGACAUUAUGAGAAACAGGAAAAAUAAGAGGGAUUUGUAAAAAAAAAAAAAAAAACCUGUAUAUGGAAUCAGGACGCAACCAAAUUCAGGAGAUGAAAGCAUGAGGGUCAAAUGCACAGAUUGUGUGUUUGGGGAACAGUUUUGGGAGGACUGUCAACCAAUGAAGAAAGGCAUCGUGAAAUGGUGGACAGUUUGAGGAAGAAAGAAAAAAGCAAAGAGAGGAGGAAGGGAGCUGAACGCUUCUCAGUGUAAGAAUUGCUAAGCUUCUGAACUGCCACUUUUCUAAAGCUCCCCAACCGCAAAACCUGUCCGGAGGCAACCCUCAGGGUCACCGCAGGAUUAGAGACGGCGAAAGAGAGAAAACGAGAGAUGAAAGGAGUGCUUCGCUAAACCAACUUGAAGAAAACAUUGUAACACUAAUCUCUCUAUUUCUAAUUUUAACCCCCAACGUAGGUGCAAUACACUGUCAAUAUCACGUUUUGGGAGGAUGUGGAUCACAUUCUUCCUACAGGGAUCACUGGCCUUGGAAAACGGGUGGGAUUCAUCAUACAAACUGUAGUAUGUCCUGGCUCGAUCUGAUGGAAAUGGAUGCAAUUUUGAAGUGAUCUAUUUUGUGGGGCAUUCCACCAUGAUAAUUGCACCUGAAAGUGGACAAAAAACCGUCGAUCCAUUCUCAGAUACACAUAAUGUGUGGAAAAACACCCAUCAUACCCUUCAACGCUAUGCAAUUCAAACACACAUUGACAGUCAGUUUCAUCAAACGCUUCAAUCGAACAGUUUAUCAGCCAAACUUUUUCCGCUCCUUUACCUUUUGGAGAUCUUGCACGUGCUUUAAAUGAAAAUAGACAGUGCUGCCAUCGGCCUGCCACAUUCCUAUACCGUACAGUUUCCCCAUUCAUCCAAUUGGAAAUCUUGUUCAGAGUGUCCUUCUCAGGGCUCACAGAAAGGUGACUUUGUCCACUAUGAAGAAAAGAGUGUUAGCCUCUCUCUUUUCUCUCUCUCUUAGUUCAGCUCUCUGCAUCUCAGCAUUUCUGUUCAACUGUAGAUGAACUGCAUGGCAUGAAUAAAAAAAACAAAACAAAAAACAAAGAGAAAGAUGGUAGAGAUCAUGCUGAGAGGAACAAGAGGAAACUAGACAGGACUACUUUGUUUGCACAGUACAAAAUGGGUGACUCUGGAUCGGUGGAUGGGGUCACUUUCUUCACCUUCACGUGGGGAACAGAAAAUACAACAAGUGCAUGAUACCUGUUAAAGGACAUAGGGUUUUUUGAGUGGACUGGGUGAACUUUGAACAAAAGCUGAAAAAAAGAGAAAAUGGAAAAAAAUGCAUUUUUUUUCUCACUUUGUUUACCAGCAUGACUAAACUGCAUGACUUUUGCAAGCCCUGAACCCCAAAUUAGAGGGCUUUAAAUCACUAAAUGCCGAAAUCAAAUGGAAACAAUAAAAGUUUAUGCUAAAUGCUACUAAAUUAUGAAAAAAAAACAAUAGAUUUAAAAAAAGAGAGGCUCUUUAUUUUGUUUUUGAAUAAUAAAAAAAAAUAUAUAGGAUCGCAAGAUUCACACAUUUUUGUUGGGUAAAAGAGGAACAAACCCCACUGAGUCUAGCUGAGUGAUCUAGAAUGAACUCCUUCAACUACGACUGCUCCCUCAAUGGUUUCGAAUCACACAUCUUCCCUUCUCUUUGUCCAUCAUUUCAUACUUUACUUGAACUUUCCUGGCUCUCUGCUCUGCCCUUCACAGUCUCCCUCAGUCAUGGCAGCCUCCAGCAGUGGCGCUACAGCUCCUCUGGAGACCUCCGACACCUAUAGGGCUCUUUUCUUUUGAUGGUUAUGGGUCUGAAAAGCAAGGUGGAAGGGGAUUUUAAGACUGUGGGUGAAGUUUUCUUUUUAAAUUUAAUCCUGAUCGAAAGUUUUGGCUUGAUUUGCAAUGCUUGCGCUUUUUAUUUCAUCCACAUUCCACGGGUAAAUCAAAGCUUUAUCCAUCGAAAGUGAGUUUGCAUCCACUUAAUAUCAGUCUAAUGAAUAUUAGCGUUGUGUGAACUGCUGUGUCACGAGACCCUGAGCACUUACUGUACAUCGCAAAGCACUAUUAUUUAAUCAGGAAGCCAUAAUGUGAGAGUAGCGCCACCAUAUGAGCUCAAAGGUGCUCAGGAGACCGUGUUUAUUCAGAAACCUGAACAUGGUUUUGUAGUUCUUAAGUUUGUUGAAAAUGUUGACAUUUUAUUAUGUAGUUCAUUUUCUGGUGGUACAGAGCAUUGCAAGGUUUUCACAAGAUUUUGUUACAGUCACUUCAUAUUUGUUUUAUUUUGAAAGUUUUGAAGAUUUGCAUAUGCUGAGCACCCACUAAAACCAGCCAUGCCAUACCAAAAUGGACUUCCUUAUUAACUUAGCAGCAGACUUCUGAUAUUAGCAUUAGCCUGUGUGAGAGGAGGCCAUGAUUCCACCAGUGUCGCUUUUAAAUCGUAGAUUACACGUGUGAGUAACUGUUUGACUGUUUAAAUCUUUCGGUGUCUUCAACAAGAUACCAAGCAUUGGUUACUUUACAAAAGUUGGUUAGUCUGGUUAGGUGUUGUUUACGUUGAAGUGUAAUUUGCUGUCUUGAAACACCAUGACUGUGUUCAUUCAGCGCUCAUCGUUCAGAAUCAGAUGUAAGCUUAGUUCAGUAACUACCUAUGCAACACCUAAGCAAGACCUUAGCAGCUCACACACACACAUGCCAUGUGCUAAGGCCAGCUGGCUGGUGUCUGUUUACCGGUGCUGUGUGUCCAGGGAGGGAAAAUGACACAGAUGCAGCUCCAUCACCACAAGAUCCUGCUGACUGUGUAGUUUUACUUCAUAUGUUAGCAGCUGGUCCGAGUAGCUUGAAGGUGCGACCGAUGUGUGCAGCUGUAGUAGCAAUGUCGCUUUCUUUAGUGGUGCACUGAAUUCCCUCUCUCUUCUCGAUAAAUACAUCAGGCCUGUUUUUUGUUAUUCGCGAUGUCUUUUCUGCAUGCUUCUCAUGGUGCACGAAGACACUCAUGCACUUUUAGAGUUAACAUAUACGUUUAUAUGUAAGCAUACAAUCAUCUCAGAGGGUUUGUAGGACACCUGAAUUGUUUUAUAUGUGCUACUCAGUUCCAGAUUGCAUUUGCUGACUGGUUAAGAUGAUGUUUACCUCUCUGGUCAUUUAUAAAUCUGAUUGGAUGUUGUUUUGGAGCAAUAAUGAUAGAGGGCCACCUUUUCCUCAUUGUCGUCAUUAGGAAUUGGAGGACAUGUUCAUCUCAUCCCUAAUAAGAAAUCCUGUGUGCCUGAAACUGUUCCCUGAAUGUGUACACAAACCGGCCAAAUCAAUUGAAGAUGCUCUCUCUGCAAAUGCUUCCCAUGAGAGUUUGUCUUGGACUGAAUGAGACUGCAACCCCUCCAGAUGGCUUACAGCUCAACAUACCUUUACUUGAAACCCAAAUGUAAAACAUAUCAGAGAGGAGCAGAACAAAGCCAGAAUCAGUCUUCACGCUUUCUCAACUUCCUGUUUGCACCCCCCCCCCCAUCUGUUCCCUCUCCUCUAUUUUUAAGGAAGAAGCUUUUUUUGCAUCCCUUGUUCUUGUGUUUUCUAUCAUAUUGUUUGGAGUUGACUUGUAUUGCAUGCAUGGAAUACAAUGUGGACAUAACUUGUGAAUAAUUUUCGAAUGGCCAGAAUGAGGUAAUCAUCUCUUUCACCUGGGCUCUCUACUCUGCAACUUCUCUUUCUGAGAUCAUUAGAAAGGAAGAAAGAGCAUAUGUUGUUCCAGGUUUCCCUCACAUUCCUAUUUCUCCAAAAUGUAGCCAUGCCAAAUAUAAAUUAUGGCUGUACUCUAGCCAUUCCGAAAUACUCUGUGUUUUAUUUAUAUAUUUAUAUAUUGUUUUAAAGAUGAUAUUUAUCUGUAUAUAUAUCUGUAGUGAAUAUUCAUCAGAGCUUCCACAGACUCAGAGCUGAACAGAUGCAGCAGAUGUCGAUAAAACAGCCUGCAGGAACUCAGUUUUCACUGCAUGUGUCUGUUAAUUUAUUCUUGUAUAGUUUGACCCAGUAUGCACUACUUGUCCUUUUCUACUUUAGUUAUUUAAUGUAGCUUGUUUAAAGGGGGAAUUCAUUGCACUAUCACAGCUAAUGGAGUGGUUGUGUCUACUGCUGAGCGCAAGCCUAACCAUACACCCCCCUAAGUUAAGAAAUGGGGACAGAGAUAAAAAGAGAGAGAGUUAGAAAGAGAGGCCAGUGAGAAAGAGAAGGUUCCUAAAUGAAAUGGAUGAGUUCUAUGCUACUGAGAUUGAUGCUGGAUACAAUUUUAUUGUCAUACAAAAAAGGGGGGAAAAUAUCAAGAACUGUAUAAAAUAUAUUUCAAUGGAAUGUUUAUUAUUUACCUUUUAUAUUUUUGAAAUGUAUAAAGAAAAAAAUUAAUAAACUGUAAUAAUUUAACAGAGUUUGUGAACACUGAGACUUCAAAAUGUUAUAUUACUAAAAGUAUGGACGUUUGAACGUGAAUGCUAACCUACCUGAUCAAAUCUUCUCCAUUACAGAUAGGGAAAAAAUAAAAUAAAAACAAUUAGAAAAAUGAAAUCCAAUUUAAAAAGAAAAAGUUCAAUAAAAUUAAUAAAAAUGUUUAAACCUCAUGCCAAAAUUUUCAA